rnacentral:rRNA from 1 species
AACGAACGCUGGCGGCAUGCCUAACACAUGCAAGUCGAACGAGACCUUCGGGUCUAGUGGCGCACGGGUGCGUAACGCGUGGGAAUCUGCCCUUAGGUUCGGAAUAACUCAGGGAAACUUGAGCUAAUACCGGAUGAUGACGAAAGUCCAAAGAUUUAUCGCCUAGGGAUGAGCCCGCGUAGGAUUAGCUAGUUGGUGGGGUAAAGGCCUACCAAGGCGACGAUCCUUAGCUGGUCUGAGAGGAUGAUCAGCCACACUGGGACUGAGACACGGCCCAGACUCCUACGGGAGGCAGCAGUGGGGAAUAUUGGACAAUGGGCGAAAGCCUGAUCCAGCAAUGCCGCGUGAGUGAUGAAGGCCUUAGGGUUGUAAAGCUCUUUUACCCGGGAAGAUAAUGACUGUACCGGGAGAAUAAGCCCCGGCUAACUCCGUGCCAGCAGCCGCGGUAAUACGGAGGGGGCUAGCGUUGUUCGGAAUUACUGGGCGUAAAGCGCACGUAGGCGGCUUUGUAAGUUAGAGGUGAAAGCCCGGGGCUCAACUCCGGAAUUGCCUUUAAGACUGCAUCGCUUGAACGUCGGAGAGGUGAGUGGAAUUCCGAGUGUAGAGGUGAAAUUCGUAGAUAUUCGGAAGAACACCAGUGGCGAAGGCGGCUCACUGGACGACUGUUGACGCUGAGGUGCGAAAGCGUGGGGAGCAAAC